AUUUUGAGCCGCAGGACAACACGAGGGUUAAUAGAACAGAACAAACCAACUGUCUAAAGUUUCUAAAACAUGAUUUUCUAUCCCUGCAGGGAUGGUCCUCCUCAAAAGAUCCCGAGAUCCAGUUUUCAAAGCAGAUCGGCCGUUCUUAUUUCUACUGCAACAGGUUCACACAGGUAUUUACUUCACAUCAUACAGAUGUUUUCAAUGUUUUAGUCUAGAAAAGCACCCUAGUCAGGGUAUGCUGUUUGACAUUUUAGUUUUAGUAUGAAAAUAAAUAGAUCUUUGAAUGAGUUGCACUGAUCAGACACUACAGAAAUACUCAGUGGAGCAGACAGGUUUGAGCUGAGCAUCAACAGGUGACCUAUCCUUGAGCUCCUGGAGGGUUUUUGUGAACAGAAGCUUUGGAACACGUGUGUGAAUUACUCCUGUUGGACCUUCUCUCUCAGAAGUUUAAAAAUGAAAUUAAUAAAUAAUCUGUUUCUGUUCUGUGAUUCAUGUUCAGUGGUGAAAUAAAAAAAACAUCCAGGAAACUUUUCUACAUUGAUGCAACGUUUCCCAGAGCUUCAUCUGAUGACCUGAAACAGAACUGACCUGCUGAUGGAGGACCUGUUGAAGAACCCUAACUCUGUAACUGAUGAAGAUAAAGAAGAAGGUUUUCCUGUCAGGUGUAACUGAUGAUGAUGAAGGUUUUCCUGUCAGGUGUUACUGAUGAAGGUGACGAUGGGGGACGACUGGGGGACCCUGACGGGGUGAGCUGGUGUCUUCAUUUGCACAACUGACUUCCCCUCUUGGACGUCCCUUAGUUCUGCCCCUAGUUCUGCUGCUACAGGCCUAGGCUGCUGGAGGACCUCUCUGGAUGCACUGAGCCCUUCUCUAUCUACCAUUAUAUUUAAUAUACAGUAUAUAUACCAUUAUUGCAUUACACUCACUCUGUUUCUCCCUGUGUCCUUUCUCCGAGUGUCCCUGAUCCCAGAGCUGGAUGCUUCAGAUCUGUGGUGGUUCUCCCACCAACUGGCCUAAUCUCCAUCUGUGGGAUGCUGCUGCUGCUGACCUUCCUCCAGCCCACUGCUUCCAGCUGCCCAUUUCCAUCAAUCUACUCUGCAUCACCCUCACUAUACUUGAUUUGCUCGUCUACAUAUUUUUGAAUUUACCACCAGCUAUAUAUGUAGUAUAUUUAAUGCCAGAGCCAUACACCGUAGCAGUAAACUAUAAUCAGUUUCCAGCCCAGAGGGAUAUAUGCGCAGAUUUUUUAAAAUACCAUGUAGAAGACUAUAUACAGGAAGAUGAGGUAUCAGUUCUUGCACAUAGAUAUACAACAGUCCUUUAUUACUCCCCAGGUUAGGGGAAAUUUCCAGUGUUAGAGCAGCAAAAAUCUUUCAGAGCAGCACUAACUACAGUUUGCUACAGUAAAGAUAAUAAUUAUAAUAACAAUAAUAUAUACAAGAAUGAAAAAUGAAUAAAUACAGUAUUACUACACUAUAAGUGACAUCAGCAUAAAGUGGCUUGUGGAAUACAUGUAAUUGUAAAAGUGCAGAAAAUGCCAGCCGUGCAAGGAGUUGUGGAGAUUUUCUCAAAACAGGUGAGUCCUGUGAAUAUGACCAAAAUAUGAGAUAAAACUACCAGAAACAUGUACAAAAUGGCCAAAAUAUGAUUGGUUGAUAAUGUAUCAGUGUUGUUAUUGAUUAUUGAUCGGUUGCAGGGACAGAGAUUUGUGUCUGAGUCUCUGCUGUCAUCUAAUCGCUCUCAUGUAAGAUCGUGUCACAGGAGGGGCCGCUACUGACCUCUUGUGGACACAGGCGGUAACGACACGACAUUAUUACUAACUGUAUAGCUGGCGACAUUACAGGCGAGCAGCACUUCCUGUUCAUCUUCAACGUAAAAGCAUCUUUCUUUAUUGUACAUUUUAUGUCAAACGAAUUAUUAAGCGAUUUAGGUCGAUUCAGAAGGCUCUCUGGUGUAAACCAAGUCGUGUUUGACGACAGCUAGCCUCUCCACUUGCUCCGAUUACUUUUGUUGUAGUCUGAGUCACGUCCAAACAGGAAAUGAAUCCACAAUGUAGCUAAUGACAAUCUAUAGCUGCAUCUCCGUGAUGGCAGCGUUAGCGAGCUAGCAGCUAAUCAGAAGCUAGUGACAAGCUAACUCCAGCGCUACCAGCAGCGUCUCUUUAAAAGGUGCUGAUCACGAUAUCAGGCUGAAACAUUAGACCUGGGACAGGAAACGGAGCUAGAGCUCUGUGUCUUGGAGAGAAUUGAUUUUAGAGCUACGUGUGUUAAGGUAUUAGUCCGUGUCAUAACAAACCCUCGUUAGCACUUUCGCUAGCUCGGCUAACACUUCCGGUCACGAAUGCAUUUGUACAUUACCUAUAACGUGUUCAUUUUUGAACGUAUAGUGACAACAAACACAAUUUGAGGGAGUCGACAAGCUAGUGGUCCUUAAAUACAUUUUGGUUCAUACUGCAGAUUCUUCUGAGUCUCACAAAACCACGUUUUAGCCUAAGAGCAUUACGAUAGUUUUACGUUGAAACAGGAAGUGCUGCUCAUCUGUACUGUCGCCAGCUUUGCCUCAAAUAAUAAUUAGUGUCGUUACCGCCUGUGUCCGCCAGAGGGGCAGUAGCGCCCCCUGCUCUGAUAAGGAUAAGGAUAAACUUUAUUGAUCCCACAGUGGGUAAAGUUCACCGAGCUGCUUCACUGAGGAGAGUCUUUUAGUUUUCAGAUAAUAUGAUGGCGAAGAAAAUGUGUUACUGCAGUAAAGAUUCCACUGAAUUAUUAUUUGAUCCAUGAUCGAGAGCACUCAGUUCUUCUCCAGUUUGUUGCUGCGGUCCGGUGAACAGGUUGAGAGGACUUUGGGUAUUGAGGCUGCAAGAUCCACCAUCAUCAGUGAGAUUCAGUACACCAUGGUCAACCACGGAAUGAGCAUCGACCGGCGUCACGUCAUGCUUCUUGCUGAUCUUAUGUCCUAUAAGGACCAGACCUGCUGGGAUCUGUACAGAUGUCUUGAUGAGGGUGGGAGUGGUUUCAGUAAAGGAGAGCUGGAUCAGUCUACAAACACAUUGUUGUAACCAGUGUGGGAAAUCUUUCAGGCAGUCAAGUUAUUUGAAACGUCAUAUGCUCAUCCACACGGAAGAAAUUAGUUUUUUACUGUGAUAUUUCCUCAUGUUUGACAAAGUGGUUAUUAUCUUAACUGUGAAAUAAAAGCCCUCCUUAAACGUUA